rnacentral:rRNA from 1 species
CCUACGGGUGGCCGCAGUGAGGAAUAUUGGUCAAUGGUCGAGAGCCUGAACCAGCCAAGUCGCGUGAAGGAUGAAGGAUCUAUGGUUUGUAAACUUCUUUUAUAUGGGAAUAAAGUGAGGCACGUGUUCCUUUUUGUAUGUACCAUAUGAAUAAGCAUCGGCUAAUUCCGUGCCAGCAGCCGCGGUAAUACGGAGGAUGCGAGCGUUAUCCGGAUUUCUUGGGUUUAAAGGGUGCGCAGGCGGGAGAUAAAGUCAGCGGUAAAAUGCCGGGGCUCAACCCCGGCCGGCCGUUGAAACUGGUUUGCUAGAGUUGGAGAGAAGUAUGCGGAAUGCGUGGUGUAGCGGUGAAAUGCAUAGAUAUCACGAAGAACUCCGAUUGCGAAGGCAGCAUACCGGCUCCAUACUGACGCUGAGGCACGAAAGCGUGGGGAUCGAACAGGAUUAGAUACCCCUGUAGUC